ACAACCAGCUACCAGUUCACUUUGAAAGUUUGAAACACCAUGAAGUCCACCUACACUUUGUCCCUUUUGGCUUUAUGCCUAACUUUAUACUUAACCUUCACCAAUGCUGCAAAUUUCAACAUUGUAAACCAAUGUACCUACACAGUUUGGGCAGCUGCUUCCCCAGGCGGUGGCAGGAGGCUCGACCGAGGCCAAUCAUGGUCCCUAAACGUGGCUCCUGGCACCACCCAAGCUCGCAUUUGGGGCCGAACCAAUUGCAACUUUGAUGCCAAUGGCCAAGGCCACUGUCAAACAGGUGACUGCAACGGGCGCCUCGAGUGCCAAGGCUAUGGAAGUCCACCGAAUACGCUAGCUGAGUUCGCCCUAAACCAGCCUAACAACUUAGACUACAUCGACAUUUCCAACGUUGAUGGAUUUAACAUCCCAUUGGAGUUCAGCUCCGUUACCAAUUGCCGUGACAUCAGAUGUUCAGCUCCUAUUGUUGAUCAAUGCCCAGCUCAGCUAAGAACUCCAGGUGGAUGCAACAAUCCCUGCACUGUUUUUCACACAAAUGAGUACUGUUGCACCGAUGGCCCAGGAAGCUGUCACCCGACCGACUUCUCCAGGUUCUUCAAGGACAGGUGCCCUGAUGCUUAUAGCUAUCCUCAAGAUGAUCCCACAAGCUUGUUUACUUGCCCAAGUGGUACAAAUUAUAGGGUUGUCUUCUGCCCUUAAAGAAAUCCAGAUAUUUAAGAAAAGUAGAUUAUGAAGAAAUAAACGCAUAUGAGACCCUUCUUGUAAUGGUUCACUGAAAUUGGAAUAAAUUUGAGCACAUAUAGCAUUGUGCGGUUUGUCUUCGUUAUCAGCUUUUUGGCUCUUUAAACUACUUAUGAACUACAUCACUGCUUACUAAAUUAAUCUGUAAGAUGGAUUUACACAUCCCUUGCUCUGACCCCUUCUUGCAUUUCUUCAAUUUCAAAAUUGAGUUACCAUGUUAAUUAGAAAACACAGUGUACAUGGAUUUGAGUGGUUUUAUUAUCCAUUACGAUUUGUAAUAAAAGAUCCUGGAGAAAAAACAAAAUAACAUCAACGCAGACAAAAAAAGUUAUACAAUAAAAUUUUUUAAAAAAAGUAAAAAGUUCUUUUACCCCAUCUAACUUAGCCAUAUAAGAAAAGAAGCUACAAAGUUCAGGAGCAGCCAAGAAUACAUCCACUUUGCAAACAAUUGAUUCGUUUCCUUUUCUUCCACCUUUCAUACUCCUUUCUGUUUUCCUUUCUCUUUUCUUCAAGUAUCAUCCAUGAAUCAGUUCCAGCAAUUUGAGGUAACAAUAAAAUCUAGGCUGUUCGGUGUCAUGGUUCAAUGGAUCUGAUACCACAUCUUGGACGGGUACAAGCUUUGCCCGUCCUCCAUACUACUCUGGCAAAGUUUCUUCGCCUAUGUCCUGGAUAAAACCCCUCCUUUCCUCUUCGUUAAUCACGAUCUUAAUCUGUGUCUAUCAUUUAAAAGUUGCUAGUUAAGUUCGAUUUUAGAAAACACAUGUAUUUCAGAAAAAAACAUGUUUACUCGAAAUUUUUGGAUUUGGAAAUCUAAACGCAAUUAUAUGCUACUUUCUGUACCCAUAAUCAAUGAAUAGAUAUUGAGCGAUGCUGUUAUAUGUUUCUGCAAUCAGACAAAUAUGAGCCACAAAUGGCUCAAAUUAAGUGAGAUCUUAGAAUCUUUGAAUUCAUAGAAACAAACACCGGAUCUUCAAUAACUGCUCUUCUGGUUGAUCACAUAAAGAGGCUAACUAUCUGCGUUCUGUAAUCGAUUAAGCAAUAGUACGAAUGGUUUUUUUUCAACUUAUUGGGAUCAUGAUGUGACUGGAAAGUUUUAUUUCUGUUGAAAAUUGAAUUAAUUAGCUUCAUACUCCUGCAGAACAAUAAUCUUCCAGUGGGAAAACAAGAUGGGAAGAAAUGGAAAGAAAAGAUCACUUUCUGUCGACUUCUACAAUCAAUAAAAAGCUCCAUUAAUUGAAAAAAAAAGAAGAAGAAGAAGAUGGAUCUUGUAUUGGUUCGUUGUCUUUAAGUAUUUCUGCACAAUAUUGUCUUGUUUUGACAAGUGAUAGUCGCACAUAGAGGGCAGUCUCUUGCAAGCCUUUCAAAGCAAGAUACAAGAAAACAGAUAUGCUCGAACAGAGAACUUAAAUUGCAUUUGUUUACUUUGACAAGUUUAAUGGCUUCAUCCUACGUAUGGAUGGAAGCAGUACUUUAGUUAUCAUCUGCCUGCUAAUUUUAAGAAAGAUCUUUCAUAUGUUUAAAUUUGCAGAAAUGGUUGCAUAUCAGAAAUACCUUCUCAAGAGUUGCUUUCUCAAGGAAGUAUGAAACCAUCCUCCAUACACUCACAAAGAACCAGGGUAGAUGUACAAUAUAACACUUGGCUAAGCACUCAGGGUAGCAAGCCAACACAAAUAAGAGAUUCGAAUGUAAUAUCGUAACGAGAAAGAAUUGCACAACACCAAGGUGAAUAGUCAUUGUGUCACGGUAAAACAGAACAAGAAUCUUUCUUGAAUUUGAAUGUAGAAAGAUCUGAUCAUUGUCCUUUUCCAUGGAUCCGAAUUCUAUCUGACCUUAAGUUUAAAGAUCUCAGCCGAUAACCUUAAUGAUCCAUGGUUUGACACGAAAACCAUUUGCCAAUAAUGGUCCUAGAAUUACACUUAAAUUAGGGAUAUGAAGAACCUCACUUGUAAAAUUUAAUGGCAGCAAAGUAAUACUUUUUGAACAGCAUAGAAGUCUACUCGGAGAAACUCAAAUUCAACGGAUGUUUCUGCAUGCUGAUUGAAUUUUCUAAGCUUCAUGAAGUCAUUUGCCUAACUCUUGACUGGGAUCAGACUAGAGAAGGAAGACAAACAGGUGUAUGGUCUUGAUUUAUGCCCAUUCUGCAACUCCAAAAUCUGGUUGAAAUUCUAGACUAAGAGCAAGAAUAUUAAAAAAAAAAAAAAAAGUUACGAUAUUAUCAUUAGUCUCCCCAGUUGUGUGAUUUUGAAAUGAUCGUCACUACCAAAAUGUUGAGAUUGACUAGCGCAUAACAGAAAGUUAUCGCUAAAAUAAUUAGAAGCUAAUAUCAAAUGUUUUAAUCCCAGAUCAUCAUUUAUUAUUUUGAACAUAGAUUUCAUUAUGGCUAAUCAAUUUUUGUAUAAUUGCUAGUUCUUUCCACUGAUUAGGUCAUAAGAUAAUUGUUUUCCACAGUGUUUUUAGGAGAAUUGUAAUAUAAUAUUUUGUUAAUAUUAAGAAAUGUUAGAAAGUGAUUCCUGAAAACAGUGUGGUUGAAAAACACUCCACCCAAACGGAUAAUUCAUGUCUGUUUCUUUUUCUAUCUUAGACAGAGGUAAUAUUGGACACUAGAGGAAAGACAUGUAAGGUUGAUCUUUAAAACGGUCAAGUCUGACAUCACCCGAACAAUAAAAAAAGGGGUAAAAUACACUUUGGGCUCCUGUGAUUUAGCAUUUUUCACAUAAUCUCCUCCCGGUUUCAAAAGUUAUACAUAACUCUCUUAUAAUUUGGAUUAAAGUGUCAAAGUGAAGAAAUUUGCAUUUUAUAAUGGAAUCAACUAAAAUGUCAAAAGUACCCCUAUAUAAAAUUAAAUAUUAUUUAUUUAUCACAAGGGAUUAUGUAUAUAUUUUAAAAAUCAUAAUAGAGUUAUAUAGUAAAAUACUAAACCAUAAAGGAGUUACACGCUGAAACAUAAAAUCAUUUGUCAUUAGACUGUGAUACAUGUUAUGUUAUAUAUUUUGUCACUUCACCCAUUUUAGUUUUUAAACAAAGGUAAUUUAGACAUUUUUAUGGAUUCUAUUAUAAAUGAUCAUUUUUAUUAUUUUAACACUUUAAUUCAAAUUAUGAGGGAUUAUAUAUAGUUUUUAAAACUAUAGGUGGGUCAUAUGAAAAAUUACUAAGCCACAUGGUGAUAAAGUGUAUUUUGCCAAAUAAAAAAUGAGGGAUGAGAGCUGACUGAAAUCAUGCAAAAGGAUAACGGCUAGAUCAGCAUCUUUGAAUCAUUCCUAGCUAGUAUACAAGAUGACCAUCAAAAUCUCUGAAAUUUCUUACGUAGAAAAUUGGUGAAGAAGAUUAAGGUGUACACGCAAGUUAAUAGCAGCCAAUCACCCUACGUAAACCCCUAGCUGUGGCACCUUGAAAACACAAUAGCUACUAGUUCACUUGGAAAGUUAGAAACACCAUGAAGUUCAGCCACACCUUGUCCCUUUUGGUUUCGUGCUUCAUUUUAUACUUAACCUUCACCAAUGCUGCAAAUUUCAACAUUAUAAACCAAUGUACCUACACAGUUUGGGCAGCUGCUUCCCCAGGGGGUGGCAGGAGGCUCGACCGAGGCCAAUCAUGGUCCCUAGAUGUGGCUCCUGGCACCACC
rnacentral:lncRNA from 1 species